rnacentral:miRNA from 1 species
UGGCUCCACACCACAGACUGUC